rnacentral:rRNA from 1 species
GAUGAACGCUGGCGGCGUGCCUAAUACAUGCAAGUCGAGCGAACAGACGAGGAGCUUGCUCCUCUGACGUUAGCGGCGGACGGGUGAGUAACACGUGGAUAACCUACCUAUAAGACUGGGAUAACUUCGGGAAACCGGAGCUAAUACCGGAUAAUAUAUAGAACCGCAUGGUUCAAUAGUGAAAGACGGUUUUGCUGUCACUUAUAGAUGGAUCCGCGCCGCAUUAGCUAGUUGGUAGGGUAACGGCUUACCAAGGCGACGAUGCGUAGCCGACCUGAGAGGGUGAUCGGCCACACUGGAACUGAGACACGGUCCAGACUCCUACGGGAGGCAGCAGUAGGGAAUCUUCCGCAAUGGGCGAAAGCCUGACGGAGCAACGCCGCGUGAGUGAUGAAGGUCUUCGGAUCGUAAAACUCUGUUAUUAGGGAAGAACAAAUGUGUAAGUAACUAUGCACGUCUUGACGGUACCUAAUCAGAAAGCCACGGCUAACUACGUG